GACGAACGCUGGCGGCGUGCUUAACACAUGCAAGUCGAACGGUGAAGGGGCCUGCUUUUGUGGGCCCUGGAUGAGUGGCGAACGGGUGAGUAACACGUGAGUAACCUGCCCCCUUCUUCUGGAUAACCGCAUGAAAGUGUGGCUAAUACGGGAUAUUCUGGGUCUGUCGCAUGAUGGGUCUGGGAAAGAUUGCGCCUUUGGGUGUUUUUGGUGGGGGAUGGGCUCGCGGCCUAUCAGCUUGUUGGUGGGGUGAUGGCCUACCAAGGCGGUGACGGGUAGCCGGCCUGAGAGGGUGGACGGUCACACUGGGACUGAGACACGGCCCAGACUCCUACGGGAGGCGGCAGUGGGGAAUAUUGCACAAUGGGCGCAAGCCUGAUGCAGCGACGCCGCGUGAGGGAUGGAGGCCUUCGGGUUGUAAACCUCUUUCGCCAGUGAAGCAGGCCUGCUCCUUGUGGGUGGGUUGACGGUAGCUGGAUAAGAAGCGCCGGCUAACUACGUG
rnacentral:rRNA from 1 species